rnacentral:rRNA from 1 species
ACGAACGCUGGCGGCGUGCUUAACACAUGCAAGUCGAACGGAAAGGCCUCUUUCGGGGGGUACUCGAGUGGCGAACGGGUGAGUAACACGUGAGUAACCUGCCCUUGACUUUGGGAUAACUUCAGGAAACUGGGGCUAAUACCGGAUAGGAGCUCCUGCUGCAUGGUGGGGGUUGGAAAGUUUCGGCGGUUGGGGAUGGACUCGCGGCUUAUCAGCUUGUUGGUGGGGUAGUGGCUUACCAAGGCUUUGACGGGUAGCCGACCUGAGAGGGUGACCGGCCACAGUGGGACUGAGAUACGGCCCAGACUCCGACGGGAGGCAGCAGUGGGGAAUAUUGCACAAUGGGUGGAAGCCUGAUGCAGCAACGCCGGGUGCGGGAUGACGGCCUUCGGGUUGUAAACCGCUUUCGCUCAUGACGAAGCUUUGUGUGACGGUAGUGGGUAAAGAAGCACCGGCUAACUACGUG